rnacentral:rRNA from 1 species
UACGUAGGCAGCAAGCGUUGUUCGGAGUUACUGGGCGUAAAGGGUGCGUAGGCGGCCUUAUAAGUAUGGUGUGAAAUCUCCCGGCUUAACUGGGAGGGUGCGCUAUAGACUGUGGGGCUAGAGUGUGGGAGAGGAAAGUGGAAUUCCUGGUGUAGCGGUGAAAUGCGUAGAUAUCAGGAGGAACACCGGUGGCGAAGGCGGCCAACUGGACAGAUACUGACGCUGAGACACGAAAGCGUGGGGAGCAAACAGG